UGACACAGCCCCACACACAAACCCCUCCUGACACACCCGACCCGUUCCCCGCUGCAGCAGCUUGGGCGCCCAGGUCCAGUGGCCCUGUCAUGAAGCAGGUCUGGCCGAUAGGAGGGUGAGGGGGAUGGCCCCUCCAUGCAUGGAUGCACACUUUACUGGAAGUCAGGGAUCCCUUCACCCCCAGAGGGAGAGGGGAGAGGGAGGAGGCAUGUCUGCACAUCACAUCUGGGUCCCCUGCUACUCUCUGUCCUGGAGGAAGCCAUGUGUCCCGGCUCAGCUCCUUUGGAGACUGUCACCAUGGAAGAAGCACGUCUAUGGCACCACUCUGGAAUCUCAUGAUUGACUUUGACCUCCCCAGCCCCACUGACCAUCCGUGGAUAACUGGACAUUAGGUGAUGGUGGAACUACCCCUCAAAAACAAUCCAGACUUCAUUCCCACAAGGCUAAAAGAAUUUUGUUCAUCUUGCAGGUU
rnacentral:lncRNA from 1 species